AGAGACAGGUGGCGAGAGAGGGAGGUAGAAAAGAAGAGGGAGGAAGGGACAGAGAGCUUGGCUCAGGGAGGCCAACAGGACUGUUUUACCAGGAACACAGUGAUGAGAACAGAGCUCUGGCCUGGAGGGGCUGUGUGCUCUCUACAAGGAAGACGACGUGCUGUGCCAGUGAGUGUUGGGGCAAGACCUCUCUGAGGAGAAUAACUGGAAGCUCCCCCCAGGCUGAGCGGGGCCUCCCACAAAGUGCAGAAGAUGAUGGGGGAAGGGAUGGAGUACGGAAGCAGAAGUCAUGUCUGCCCAACGGUGCUGACCUAAGGUGGUCACUCUUGGGGUGUCCCCUGUGAUGGUUAAUAUUGAGUGUCAACUUGAUUGGAUUGAAGGAUACAAAGUAUUGUUCCUGAGUGUAUCUAUGAAGGUGUUGCCAAAGGAGAUUAACAUUUGAAUCAGUGGACUGGGAGAGGCAGACCCACCUGCAAUCUGGGUGGGCACCAUCUAAUCAGCUGCCAACCUGGCUAGAAUAAAGCAGGCAGAGGAACGUAGAAUAAGGACACUCUCUGGAUCUUCCGGCCUUCUUCUUUCUCCCGUGCUGGAUGCUUCCUGCCGUCAAACCUCAGACUCCGAUUCUUCAGCUUUUGGACUCUUGGACCUACACCAGUGAUUUGCCAGAGGCUCUCAGGCAUUCGGACACAGAGUAAAGGCUACACUGUCGGCUUCCCUACUUUUGAGGUUUUGGGACUCAGACUGGCUUCGUUGCUCCUCAGUUUGCAGAAGGCCUGUUGUGGGACUUCACCUUGUGACUGUGUGAAUCAAUUCUCCUAAUAAACUCCCCUUCAUAUAUA